rnacentral:rRNA from 1 species
UACAGAGGGGGCCAGCGUUAUUCGGAAUUAUUGGGCGUAAAGAGCUCGUAGGCGGCCUGUCGCGUCUGCUGUGAAAUCCCGGGGCUUAACCCCGGGCGUGCAGUGGAUACGGGCUGGCUGGAGGCAGGCAGGGGAGAACGGAAUUCCCGGUGUAGCGGUGAAAUGCGCAGAUAUCAGGAGGAACACCAAUGGCGAAGGCAGCUCGCUGGGACGGUACUGACGCUGAGACGCGAAAGCGUGGGGAGCAAACAGG